rnacentral:lncRNA from 1 species
AUGGCGGAAGGUGACUCGUUAGGUGAUAAUGAUGACAUUCAAAACUUAACUAGAUUACUUACUGGUAUCGACGAUAGACAAAAUGAAACUAAUGUAGAAUCAAUAUUAGCAAGAUUUGUGCGGAGCGUUAAUAUAGAACCUAUUCAACAUAAUUAUUUGCGUAAAUUGGAUCCGGAAACUUUUGCGCUUCUUUUUGUAUUGAUAUUUUUUUUGGCACUUGUAAUUGCAAUAACGUGUAUAUUACUAUGGAAGAUAUUAUCUUUACGAGACUAUACUAAUCAGGAAUUUUUGAGGAUGUUACCGUUAGGUUGGGAAUUGGGAGGAAGAAAUGAUGAGGAAGAAGAUGAAGAUGAGGAAGAAGAAACUGCAUUAUAACAAGUUCAACUAAAAUAAUCAUAUAUUAAAAGUAAUCAUUUACUAAUAAAAAUGUUUGAUGUAAAACCA